rnacentral:rRNA from 1 species
UACGAGGGGGGCGAGCGUUGUUCGGAAUUAUUGGGCGUAAAGAGCGUGUAGGCGGUUUGGUAGGUCCGUUGUGAAAACUCGAGGCUCAACCUCGAGACGCCGAUGGAAACCAUCAGACUAGAGUCCGGAAGAGGAGAGUGGAAUUCCUGGUGUAGCGGUGAAAUGCGCAGAUAUCAGGAAGAACACCCGUGGCUAAGGCGGCUCUCUAGUACGGUACUGACGCUGAGACGCGAAAGCGUGGGGAGCGAACAGG